ACGGGUCAUGAAGCCCAUAAAGGUCCAGUUUCAUCCUUUGCCAUUUUUGUGGUCUGUGUGUCUCCAGAGAAUUGUAGGGACAGAAAAAUUGUCCCCAAACCUAUCAAAUUGCCUAACCCAGGCCUUUGCACACUCAUUCCCAUUUUCUGUAUCAAAAGACACCGCCCCUCCCAUUUCCCUCAUGAAUUCACACUAAACUACAUUUUAUUUCAGUCUUUUACCAGUUACAUCCCCUAUUAUCUCCCUAUUAUUCCUCUGAUACCCCUCUUUCAGCAUCAGGUCUUGCUGCUCCAGACCAAAAUCCAUAAAAGCAGAAUACCCUCAAUCACCCUCCCCUGUCUGUCUAUUCCAGUGAGGAAUGAAGCAUUUUCCACAGCUUCUGGCAAUCUCCCUCACCCUGCCCUACCCCACAAAGUUAAUUCAGAAAGGAAAAGAAAAUACUCUAGUUCAGCUCUUCACAGAAACAUGUUAAGUUGCCUUCAAACAGAAUUUGACAACCUCUUGCAAGAUGUAUUGUGGUGCUUCAGUCAAGUGAAAGGAACGAUUGACGCAGGGGUCACAGAAGGGAACUCAAGGUGUUUCUCUGUCAGAUUGUGUGAUGCCUUGAGUCAUCGGAGGAGACAUCGUUCACAGUGGGCUGCUAAAUCUGUUACUUUUCAAGGGUCAAUGAUAUCAACUUUCCAGCCUGGGAAGAUUGGAUAAAUUGGAAGGAGGCUGUGCCGUCUGGCAACCCUAUGUACCAUCUGGCUACCAAGGCCACUCUGGGCUGUUCACAAUACAAUAAAAUAAGACAACACUUUAAAAAACA
rnacentral:lncRNA from 1 species